GACGAACGCUGGCGGCGUGCUUAACACAUGCAAGUCGAACGGAAAGGCCCUGCUUUUGUGGGGUGCUCGAGUGGCGAACGGGUGAGUAACACGUGAGUAACCUGCCCUUGACUUUGGGAUAACUUCAGGAAACUGGGGCUAAUACCGGAUAGGAGCUCCUGCUGCAUGGUGGGGUUGGAAAGUUUCGGCGGUUGGGGAUGGACUCGCGGCUUAUCAGCUUGUUGGUGGGGUAGUGGCUUAUCAAGGCUUUGACGGGUAGCCGGCCUGAGAGGGUGACCGGCCACAUUGGGACUGAGAUACGGCCCAGACUCCUACGGGAGGCAGCAGUGGGGAAUAUUGCACAAUGGGCGGAAGCCUGAUGCAGCAACGCCGCGUGCGGGAUGACGGCCUCGGUGUAACGCUUCGCCUGUGACGAAGCGUGAGUGACGGUAAUGGGUAAGAAGACACCGGCUAACUACGUAGCCAGCAGCCGCGUAA
rnacentral:rRNA from 1 species